AGCGAACGCUGGCGGCAGGCCUAACACAUGCAAGUCGAACGAACUCUUCGGAGUUAGUGGCGGACGGGUGAGUAACACGUGGGAACGUGCCUUUAGGUUCGGAAUAACUCAGGGAAACUUGUGCUAAUACCGAAUGUGCCCUUCGGGGGAAAGAUUUAUCGCCUUUAGAGGGGCCCGCGUCUGAUCAGCUAGUUGGUGGUGUAAUGGACUACCAAGGCUACGAUCAGUAGCUGGUCUGAGAGGAUGAUCAGCCACAUUGGGACUGAGACACGGCCCAAACUCCUACGGGAGGCAGCAGUGGGGAAUCUUGCGCAAUGGGCGAAAGGCUGACGCAGCCAUGCCGCGUGAAUGAUGAAGGUCUUAGGAUUGUAAAAUUCUUUCACCGGGGACGAUAAUGACGGUACCCGGAGAAGAAGCCCCGGCUAACUUCGUGCCAGCCGCCGCAGUAACAC
rnacentral:rRNA from 1 species